CGGCGGGCACCGCUAUUGGAGUUCGAUUAACCCAUGCGAGUCGAGAGGGGUAAGCCCUCGGCGCACUGCUCAGUAACACGCGGACAAUCUGCCCUCGAGACGGGGAUAAUCCCGGUGAAACUGGCCGAUAAUACCCGAUAGGUCUAGGAUGAUGGAAGGCCCCUAGGCCCAAAUCCUGCGGGGCUCGAGGAUGGGUCUGCGGCCUAUCAGGUAGUAGGGGGUUUCACGGACCCCCUAGCCGUAGACGGGUACGGGCUUUGGGAGAAGUCGCCCGGAGAUGGAUUCUGAGACACGAAUCCAGGUCCUACGGGACGCAUCAGGCGCGAAACCUCCACAAUGUGGGAAACCACGAUGGGGGAACUCCAAGUGUCCAGACUUAUGUCUGGACUGUUCUCGAGCCUAAAAAGCUCGAGAAGUAAGGGCCGGGUAAGACGGGUGCCAGCCGCCGCGGUAAUACCCGCGGCCCGAGUGGUGCUCAUUAUUAUUGAGCCUAAAGCGUCCGUAGCUGGCCGGGCAAAUCUCCGGGUAAAUCGGGCGGCUCAACCGUCCGAAAACCGGAGACACUGCUCGGCUUGGGAUCGGGAGAGGGAGAAGGUACUCCCGGGGUAGGGGUAAAAUCCUGUAAUCCGGGGGGGACCACCAGUGGCGAAGGCGUUCUCCUAGAACGAAUCCGACAGUGAGGGACGAAGCCCUAGGGCGCAAACGGGAUUAGAUACCCCGGUAGUCUAAGGUGUAAACGCUGCACACUUGGUGUUGGGGGUCCUGCGUGGGC
rnacentral:rRNA from 1 species